rnacentral:lncRNA from 1 species
AGACACCAAUUAGAAAUGCCAAAUAAUUCUUUUUUAAAAUAAUGCACAUGUAUAUCAACCAAAAACAGCGGGCAAUAGAAAUUGAAAUGAACAGUUGCAUUCACAUGCAAACUGGUGAGGCCUGUGGAGGAAUCAUUAUGCAGCAUACGAGACGAUAAUGAUCACAAGAAGUAAUUUUUAUGUGAAUCACAAAUCUUUACUUCAAUCACUAUUAUCAACCAGAAAUAACAAAUCAAACUCCAACAUUUCAAAGAAGUAUCAGAAAAUAAAGCGAAGUAGACAAUGAAAUAUUAAGUGCUUACAAACACUAUCAAAUAAAAACUCACCAGUGUGCAAAAUUGCUGAGAACUCUGGCAUGAACCGAAUAAUGAAGAUAAAAAUUAAAAAACCAUCACAAUCAUCAAUCAAUAGGAAAGAAAAGAUGAUCACAACCUAAACGUCUCACAAGAUCAAAAAAAGCAACCUUUCAAGACCAUCAAUUGCAACUCGAGGGAAAACCAGCAUUCCUAUGUUAAUGAAUAAUGAGAAAGAGAGAUCAACAAGAAAAUAAAAGUAGAUGGAUCAAGAAAGUAAAACCAGCACAAUCACCAAAAUAAGAUCUCAAAGAGACUACAUACUUUUCCAAUUUAAACUCCCGCAGAACAGUUUAUUUCCAGUAAGACAGCUUUAGAAGGGUUCGAUCUCUGCAAGAAUUCAAACACCAUUCUACAUGGAAGUAAUUCAAACAAAACAAACCCAACAAGCUGAGUUACAAAAUCAUACCAAGGGUUAUCCAUAUCAAUCUAUAGCCUGUAAAGAAACAAUUCGGAGGCCAUCUUAGCUGAAUCUACUGAAAUUAGUACGAAACCAAUUCUAAAACGAAAAUAGAUGAUCAAAACGCCCAAGUUUUAAUUAAUCAGAUAGGAUGAGAUUCACAUCUAAAUGAUCACAAAACUAGACACCAAGAUCACUGCUAGGACACAAAUUUAUUAAAGAAAAAAAAACACCAGAAAAGAAAUCAAGAAGCGAGCAAACACUAACAAGAAAACCUUCUCCGGAAACUACAGAUGAAAAAAAGAAUCAGAGAAAUCACCGUAAAGCACCGGAAUCAAGCCAUCAACCUAGAAAUCAAGAACCAUAAGAAUGGGGAAGUUACCCUAAAGAAACGCCAAAACCCGGCAAGAAAUAAAGAAUUAUAUAUCAAGAAUUCAAAGAAGAAACAAGAGGAAAGGAACGGGGCGGUUCUCUUGCCUUGUAGUCGCCGGCGAGCGGCGCCACCGUGCCCCCUGGUCGUCAUUCUCGUCCUCGUGCGGUUCCGAGGUUGACGACCACGGGGCCCCAGACACGCGAAGAAGAACGGCACCAGCUCGUCCCCGCCUGGCUUGCCAUCACGUACGAAAGAAAGGCUUGGCUAUGGUAAGGGUUUAUUUACAGGCAACCGCGCCCUCAGUCCGCUUUGCCUCCACGCGAUGCAAAUAAUGGAGGCCCCCGAUUAAAUAACGGA